rnacentral:rRNA from 1 species
AGAGUUUGAUCCUGGCUCAGAGCGAACGCUGGCGGCGUGGAUUAGGCAUGCAAGUCGAACGAUCCGAUUUACAGUCGGAUAGUGGCAAAAGGGUGAGUAACGCGUGGGUAACCUACCCCCGAGCGGGGAAUAACUCUACGAAAGUGGAGCUAAAACCGCAUAAUACUGACAUACAUAAGUGUGUCAGUCAAAGAUGGGGAUCCUUACGAGGACCUGUCACUCAGGGAUGGGCCCGCGUCCUAUCAGCUUGUUGGUGAGGUAAAAGCUCACCAAGGCAAUGACGGGUAGCUGGUCUGAGAGGAUGGUCAGCCACACUGGGACUGAGACACUGCCCAGACUCCUACGGGAGGCUGCAGUCGAGAAUAUUUCGCAAUGGGGGAAACCCUGACGAUGCGACGCCGCGUGCAGGAUGAAGGCCUUCGGGUUGUAAACUGCUGUCAGGUUGGAAGAAUGCUUUUAUAUGAAUAGUAUAAGAGUUUGACGGUACUUCCAGAGGAAGCCCCGGCUAACUCCGUGCCAGCAGCCGCGGUAAUACGGAGGGGGCAAGCGUUGCUCGGAUUCAUUGGGUGUAAAGGGUGUGUAGGUGUCUCUUCAAGUCGGAUGUGAAAUCCCUUGGCUCAACCAAGGAACUGCAUUCGAUACUGUUGAGAUUGAGCUUUGGAGAGGUGAGCGGAAUUCCCGGUGUAAGGGUGAAAUCUGUAGAUAUCGGGAGGAACACCAGUGGCGAAGGCGGCUCACUGGCCAAAAGCUGACACUGAGACACGAAAGCUAGGGGAGCAAACAGGAUUAGAUACCCUGGUAGUCCUAGCCGUAAACUAUGAGUACUAGGUAUUGGAUAGCAAUAUUCAGUGCCGUAGCUAACGCGAUAAGUACUCCGCCUGGGGACUACGGCCGCAAGGUUGAAACUCAAAGGAAUUGACGGGGACCCGCACAAGCGGUGGAGCAUGUGGUUUAAUACGACGCUACGCGUGGAACCUUACCAGGGCUUGACAUGUAUUGGAAAGCUCGGUGAAAGCCGAGCCCUUCUUCGGAACUGAUACACAGAUGUUGCAUGGCUGUCGUCAGCUCGUGUCGUGAGAUGUUGGGUUAAGUCCCGCAACGAGCGCAACCAUUGUUCUUAGUUACUAACAGGUAAGCUGAGCACUCUAAGAAGACUGCCUCUGCUUAAGAGGAGGAAGGUGGUGAUGACGUCAAGUCAGUACGGCUCUUACGCCCUGGGCUACACACGUGCUACAAUGGCUGGUACAAUGAGACGCAAUACCGCGAGGUGGAGCAAAUCUAUAAAACCAGUCUCAGUCCGGAUUGGAGUCUGCAAUUCGACUCCAUGAAGCUGGAAUCGCUAGUAACCGCGCAUCAGCUACGGCGCAGUGAAUACGUUCCCGGGUCUUGUACACACCGUC